UGUUGGAAAAUGAUACGGAACAUCAGAAAAACAUGACCUUUCUGAGAUUUUUCCAUAAAAUCCGAACACAUGCAGAAUCCAGUCUGUGUGUUCAACUGCCUCUUCCAGCAAUGCUCACUAAUGAUUUUCAUUUUUCUAUUAAUAAAUAUCAACUGUCUAUUUAGCACUCAUCUGUUACAGAGAGACUUCAGCCAGCCAAUAAUCAAGAGCUGACUGCCAGCCCAAGCACUGACAGAAAGGUAGGGCUAUAACCAGGCCUCUUUGACAUGGCUGGGUGGACAUUUCUAUGGCGAGAAGAAUGUGAGGUGACAUUUUUGACCAGCUUGCUGUCUGAGGGCCUUAAGAGCCUCUGUCCAUCUCGUGGAAACAGUCAACUCAACUCCCUUUUCUGUGGUUUAGAAAAACAAGAAAAAUUCUUCCUUCUCCAGAGAGUAUUGACCUAUUACAAAGGCUAUGCAGAUAGUACAAAACAUAGCACACUCCUCCAAGAAAUUCCUAUCAUAUUCAUGAAAAAAGUCCCUCAAACCUACUGCCAAGUUUCAAGAUCAGCUUUGAUGUGUGUCUAAAGUAGCUUGGCACCCGGCUGUCAUCAUUCCCUGGAUCUGUCUCUCUGUGAAACCGCGAUAUAAUCAUCACUGUCCCAUGUGAAGAGGCCAGCUGCUUAUGGCACCGUGAUGAUACACUCCCACAACUUCCUGCAGCUCAUGGGUUACGUCGAUGACUGCUGGAGGACGCUAUGAAAUGGUAUAAAAUAACGAAGUCAGAAGAUUGAUGCUGGAAGGGACCGUAGCACCUUAAUAUCUACCUUUUAGAAAUUAAACAAAAGGCAAAACUGAGCGAUUCUAUAAUAAUUCAGCGCCAACUAGGUUCAACACAUUGUUUCAGACGUUGGAAAGAAAGGGGAGAUUUCCGCCGGCAUAAACUGUAUUCACCAGCUCCCAACCCUGAGGUCUCCAGUGCGGUCAGCCAAUGGGAAGCCUUGCCAGGAGAUCAGUUAGAAGAAGGGGAGAGUAACAAGGCCCUCGGUGAUGACAGCUGGGCUGCUCCUGGGCCUUCCUGUGCAUUCUCCACCUGGAAUUUCAUGACGAGUACCCUUGUAAAUAAAAUC